CUUUCAUCCUCUGCCAGGGGCCUGACGCGGGCCGGCGGAUCCCCGGCCUCAAGUAAGGGCGCUCGCCGCCCGCCCUGCCCGCGCGGCCCUGCCCGCCGCCCUACGGGAGCCCGGGGAUGUUGGCCGGGCCUCGGGCCGCCUCUGCUUCCUUUACAGCUGCUUUUUUUUUUUUUUUUUUUUUUUUUUUUUCUCUUCUCCUCCUUCCCCCCUUUUUCCCUCGGCCGGGCUGACAGAUCGGAGUGAGAGGCGCUGGCGAUGGACCGGGAGGCUCGGCUGCCGCUGCUGCUGCUCCCCCCUGGGCUCCGGCGGGAGCCUUUCCCGGUCAGGCAAGAGGGCCAAGAAGGCAGGGCUGCCGGGGCCGCACUAGAAGAGGCGGCAGCCUCCUACAGCACCACUACAGGCACUGCGAGGACAUAACACCAGAGAGCCGCUCCUCGGCCUCCGAAACGACAACUUUCCUACCAUCUUGGAGGCCGAGCAAAGGGGGGCCGGGGGGAAAAGUGCACCCGCUCCCGAUAAAGUACACAUCUCGACUUCUCAUCUCCGGAAAACCGUCCACACCGGCCGUCUACACCGGCGCCUGGGGCGGGGGGAGCGGGGAAGACCCGGGGGUGCUUGAGAAAAACCCUUUCCUUUGCACCACCGGGGGGAGAGGGGGGAUGUUUCUGCAUCUUCUGCUGGAAAGAAAUCUUUACAAGACACAGGUUUUCCGGCAAUGGGAAUCAAGCCUAUUAAGUGUUCCAGGAAGGCAGGAUACAGCUGUUGGUCUUGCACAGUGCCCACCGAGGCAGAGAUCACGGGAGAGGUUAAAUAGGACCGAAGCAUCUCUGACCACGGUCCUGGAAAUGAUUCUGAUUCUGUGAUGGUCUACCCAGGAAGAAAG
rnacentral:lncRNA from 12 species